UGCCCAGCAACUCCUAUCCCUACCUCCUACCCUACCUCCGCGGUACUGGCCGGGGUAACCUUAGGGAAGAUCGGGUAACCAACCCCCAGUGGGGACUUUGGUCGUAUGCUGACUUGGAAGG
rnacentral:ribozyme from 1 species